rnacentral:rRNA from 1 species
UAACGAAUAUUCCGCAAUGCGCGAAAGCGUGACGGAGCAAUGCCGCGUGCAGGAUGAAGCAUCUAGGUGUGUAAACUGCUGUCAGGGACUACCAAGCUCUGAGGAGUCCCAAAGGAAGGGCCGGCUAACUUCGUGCCAGCAGCCGCGGUAAUACGAAGGGCCCGAGCGUUGCGCGGAAUCACUGGGCUUAAAGCGUGCGCAGGCGGAUCCGUAAGUACCUUGUGAAAUCCCACGGCUCAACCGUGGAACUGCUCGGUAUACUGCGGGUCUUGAGGUCGGCAGAGGUCGUCGGAACAGUAGGUGGAGCGGUGAAAUGCGUAGAUAUCUACUGGAACGCCCAAGGCGAAGGCAGACGACUGGGCCGAACCUGACGCUCAGGCACGAAAGCGUGGGGAGCGAACGGGAUUAGAUACCCCCGUAGUCC